rnacentral:rRNA from 1 species
AUGGGAUGCAAAGUCUCGACAGUCGGCGACGUGUACGGCUUCGGGGUGCUGCUACUGGAGAUGCUCACGGCGGUGCGACCUACGGAGGCACAAUGCAGCAACGCCCUCGGCCUCCACAAGUAUGUCGAUCAAGCCUUCCCCGAGAGGAUCGCUGAGAUUCUAGAUCCCCAUAUGCCUUCCGAGGAGGACGAGGCGGCUGCUUCUCUGCGUAUGCAAAACUACAUUAUACCUUUGGUCAGUAUUGGCCUGAUGUGUACCAUGGAUUCGCCGCAAGAUAGACCAGGUAUGCAUGAUGUCUGUGCCAGAAUUGUUGCCAUGAAAGAGGCAUUUGUCGAGACCUUGUGA